rnacentral:rRNA from 1 species
UACGUAGGGGGCAAGCGUUGUCCGGAAUCAUUGGGCGUAAAGAGCGUGUAGGCGGCCCGAUAAGUCCGCCGUGAAAGUCCAGGGCUCAACCCUGGAAUGCCGGUGGAAACUGUCGGGCUGGAGUCCGGAAGAGGCGAGUGGAAUUCCUGGUGUAGCGGUGAAAUGCGCAGAUAUCAGGAGGAACACCAAUGGCGAAGGCAGCUCGCUGGACGGUACUGACGCUGAGACGCGAAAGCGUGGGAGCAACAGG